GAGGGAGGGGGAGAAGCAGACUCCCUGCUGCGCAGGGAGCCUGAUGCAGGGCUCAAUCCCAGGACCCUGGGAUCAUGACCUGAACCGAAGACAGACUCUUAACUGACUGAGCCACCCACGUGCCCCUAGCCAUCUUUUCUUGAAUGUUCAUACCAUUCAGAGGAAUCAUGGUUAUGGAAGGAUACCUUUUCUAAGAGAACUAUGUUUAUUUUACUGGGACAUGUGGGUAUGCUAAGCAGUUUGGACAUGUUCUUAGAAAGCACAAGAAGAUAAAGUAGCCACCCUCAACUCCCACCAGACAAAAAGAUAUCAGAGUCUAAGCACAAUUUUAAUAUGACUGCAAACAACAUGCUGAUGAGUUUCAUAGUAGUAAUUUUCUGCCUGUUGUAACUAUCUUGGAAAACUUGCCAGGACAAGAUCAUGAGGCAUAUGAUUCUUCUGGAGUAAGACCAUGUAUUAAAAUUCAAUCCAACAAUAGAUUAUGAGUCUAUCUUAUGGUAGGUGAUGGAUAUAUAUUUAAAAUCAUUAAUCUAUCAAAGCUGUAACUCAUAACUUUUGAUACUCUGAUAUUAUCCUGAGAAUUUCAUUUAAUCUCCCUGGAUCAUGUGGCUUAUAAGACUUUCUUUCACAGCUGCAAAAUUACUUGAAAGUUUAUCUAUCAUCAUCUUCUCUUAUCCAACACAUCUCAGAAGCUGUUGAUGGUGUCUCACAGUCACUACUGGAGUAUAAUUCCCAAUUCUUGCCUCAUCCUGGAUCUACUGAAAGAUAGCAUCAAUCCUUAAAUAUUCAAUUGCCUUUCAAGUGAAUGAUAUGUAAAGCAUUUGAAGUCUGCUAGGAUCUGCACAGAAAGAGACAGGCCAAUAUAUUCUAGUUUCUCCUAUUCUAAAAUUUCACUGUAGACAAUUCUUGACUUAAAAUAUGGUCAGAAAUGGUUAAAAAUGUACUGUUGUUUAGACAUUACCAAAUUAGGUUGAAGUGGAGCCAAAUUGGCAUAGAUUGGUUGUUGGUGUCUCAUUUUGCAAAUUAAUCCAAAGUUUGUUGUUUACCAGAUAUUAUUUCAAACUUAUAAAUUUUCUUAAUGUAUAUCAGUGUAAAAUAAAAGACACAUUUUUUCUAAUUUGAGAAAUUUGAAAACACUUUCAGAUUCCUGUGUCUGCUAAAAAAAUAUAUGAAUCGCAACAUGAGUUGAAAGCUUCCCUCAUUGUCUUUUAUUUUGAAGCCUUGCAGAUUUCCUUUCAAGUUAAUUACUCUGGUUGACUUAUAAAGUAAAGAUGCAAAAAUGCUACUGUAAGUCCAACUUGGGGAAAGAGGCCUGAGUGGCAUUUUGGACAUGCUUAGAUGGUCAACCUCGGCCAAAUUUCUAAGAGAUUUAGCUUACCUCUGCAUGAGGCUACAGAAUUUAAUAUUACUUAUCUACUUUUCAAAAAGUUGGAAAUGACCUUCAUAUAUAGGAGAAAGGAAAUGGCCAUAUACAGGCAAGAUAAUCUGGAGACACUUCUUAGAAAGUACAGUAUCCUAGAUUCUAUCCCAGACCUACCCAAUAAAAAUAUCCAUGCGGAAGUUUCCAGAAUAAAUAACCCUGGUGAUUCUUAUCAUUCUGCUGACUCUUAUCAUUUGGAAACAUCUCACUAUUACAUCUGUAAGGUCAAAUUUUAUUUAUUAUAUUCUGCUUCUAAAGAAUUUGUAAUAAGGAAAUAUUCACAAUAAAAUACUUAAUGACACAAAAAUAGAAUAUAAAACUAUAUAGACAGUAUAAUCAGAAUGCAUCACAGAAGAAAUAAAAGUAUCAUUAUAAAAGCUGGCCUCAGAUGUCCUCUUUUCGUUUAGGAAAAUACCUGGAUGUAAUUGGGAAGGCCUAGUGUCUGCUUGAGAGGAGGACCAGCAGGAGACAAAGCAAAAUCGAGAAGAUUGCAGGAAAGUGGCAGGAAUUUUUAGUUCCCUGGGUAUCCCUUAGGGCAAGGAUAGGUAUGUUUAAAUGGGAAAGAAAAGGAGACUGAACAAGAGAUUCAGACUAUAGAGACAAAUGAUUAACUCUUCAAUGAGGUAUUACAGAUGGUGAGGAUAACCAAGACGCAGAGGGCCAGGGAUGUCCACUAUUGAAAGUUAAACUCUUUGCUGUAGGGUGCAGUCCUGAACCACCGUGUAAUCCCCUCCCGUGCCCUAACCUUCAGUGUGCAUGCUCUGGAGGACUGACGCCAAAAGGCACUGACUGGUACGUCCACAGACACGUUGAUGUGAGCAGAGAGAAAAGAACAUCAGCAAAUCAGAAUGACACAGUGUAAUAGAUGCAAAUAUGUAGCCAUUUCAGUUAUCUCCCAAAUGUAAGAGUGACACCAGGAACCUAGAAGAUCUGGGUAGUCCCACAUAGCUGGCAUUUUGGCGGCGCACAUGCGUGCACACACACAACAUGAGAAAGACCUAAAGAAUGAAUGGCAAGGGGCGCCUGGGUGGCUCAGUCAUUGAGCGUCUGCCUUCGGCUCAGGUCAUGAUCCCAGGGUCCUGGGAUCGAGCCCCGCAUCGGGCUCCUUGCUCUGCGGGAAGCCUGCUUCUCCCUCUCCCACUCCCCCUGCUUGUGUUCCCUCUCUCGCUGUGGCUCUCUCUGUCAAAUAAAUAAAAUCUUAAAAAAAAAAAAAUGAAUGAAUGGCAAAAGGUAGGAAGUUUAUCUCUGCACAUUGAGUUAAAAGUAGGAUGCAUAUCUCGUUUUGUUGUUUUCCUCCAUCCAGCAUAUAUUACCUAUAGAACAAUGGGGAAACAGUGAUUAAACUCUGGGAAAAUAAAGAUAAUCUUCAGGUGUUUUUCAAAAAAAAGUUCUAAAUUUGAUAGAGAUUAAGCCAAAUCUAAUACUCAUUUUAACUACGCUAUUAGUUAACAUUUUAGAAAGACCUUUAUCGGUCAGUCAUUCAUAAAUACAACCAAAUCCCUGGGUUCUACACAAAAUAAUUUACACUGAACUAUUGGAUGAUGCAUAGAGUCCACUGGUGCAAAGUUGGGGAAUAUAUUUAAUGAUUUUAUAUUCAUCUGUACAAUUCUUGUUGCUAUCAAUCAUACUUUGAUUCAUGCCUUCUUUUCCUUCUUUUAAAGAUAACUUUUUCCCUAUUUAAAGAAUAAUACUUAGGGACACCUGGGUGGCUCAGUCGUUAAGUGUCUGCCUUCAGCUCAGGUCAUGAUCCCAGGGUCCUGGGAUCAAGCCCCGCAUCAGGCUUCCUGCUCAGCGGGGAGCCUGCUUCUCCCUGUCCCACUCCCCCUGCUUGUGUUCCCUUCUCUUGCUGUGUCUCUGUCAAAAUAAAUAAAUAAAAUCUUAAAAAAAUAAAGAAAGAAAGAAUAAUACUUAUAAAGCAGUAUUUUAUUUAGCCCCAAACGGGCAGUUUCUGCUGUCAGAUAAAGUGAGUUUGAAGGCCACUUCUACCCCUUACUCUUGUGUCACCUUGAGUGUUAUUUUCUCUCUCUGCAGUAUGUUUAUCCAUCUGUAAAUAGGGAUAAUGAUGCUUUUUAUUCCAUAAGGCUUUUGUGAGGAUUACACGAGUUAAUGCGUGUAAAGGGCUUAGCAUAAUCUGUAACCAAUUUUACAAACUACAUUAACUAUGAUUAGUAUUUGUUCAUAAUAGAAACUUCCGGAAAAAUAAAAGCAUUCAGAAGGAAACAAAUAUCAUCUAAAUUCUUACAUUGAAGGCUAGAGGAACUAUCAUUUUGGUAACUUUUCAUUUUUCUUUGUUUAAACAAAAAAUACGAAAAUGGAUCCCCUUCUAUGUAUGUACAAAAAAACCAAAAAUGGAUCCUCCUCUGUGUAUUAUAAUCAAAUUGCUAAACUUUAUAUAAACUAAAUAAUUUUCUCUGUUAUUAAAUGUACUUCCAAAACAUUAUUUCCAGUGGUCACAUCCUUUUCCAUUUAUAAGGAAGCAUCAUACUUCAUUUAAAUAAUAUUGUAUUGUUGGAUUAGCUAUUUUGAAAUCAUUGAUAUUUUAAGAAAGCUUCACUGCCUGUUCUUAUAACUAAAUAUUUGUGCAUAUUCAUGAUUAUUCCCUUAGAAUCAAUUUUUAGAAUUGGAAUUGCUGAACAAAAUGGUAUAUUUUUAUGUGUUUAAUACACGUUUAUUAUGUAUUGCUAAAGUCCUUCCAGAAAGUUUGUGCCAAUUAUCACUUAUAAUCAUAAAUUAAAUACUCUGUAAGCAACAGGCACAUACUUUUUGCCAAAAAUAAUGGCAGUGACUUUUAAUGUUUUUACUUAUAUUUUAUUGAGAUUGAAAAAACUGGCUAUUUUUUUCUUGUAUAUUACAUGAGUAUUUGAAUCUUUUAAAGAUUAUUUUUCUACUUCCUAACUUGUCACAUUCACUGGAGUGACAUUUAUUGAGCACCUACUGCUGUCAGGGACAUUGCCUGGGGUGAGGAGUAUACGGAGAAGGAAAACUAAAGUCGAUGGUAUCUAAGAGGGAUGAAGGCUACUGAAAUUUGCAUGGUUCCUCUGGGGGCCUUGAAGAUGCAUAUUAAACUUUAGAAGCCAAGGGAUCCCUCCUAGAACUGCCCUUCUUCCAAGUAAAAUGGACCCAAAAAACAGGGAGAGGUGACAAGUCCCAGGCAAAGGGAACUGGUAUUUCUUGAGCAUAUUUCAAUGAGAUAAAUAACUCCAAUUUCCCUUAUUAAAAACAGUAACUGCUUUCAUUUGUUGGACCUGCAAACUGUAACGGGCUCACCCUGAUUUUCAUCUGUGUUUCUCAACCUUCAGUCUUUUUGACAUUUGCAAUUGUUGCCAUAUCUACAUGCUAAUUUUCCUUAAAUUGAGCUCCUGUGUUUAUUUUUUAAAGUUUCAUUUAAAAGGAAAUUUUCUAUUAUUGAUGGAAAAUCACUAAUAUUUACCACAUACAAAUAUAAUAAGAAUAUACGCUUUCAUGUAUACCACCUAAAAUCAUCACAUCCCUUCCCGCUCCUCCCAUCUCCUGCCAGAGGCAGAGUGUCCCAUGUGGGGAAACAUGGCUCCCAACCUUGCUUCCCUAACAGAAAAAACGGAGUCACUAAGGACAGCAGGACAAGACUGUGGGAACUCUGUAAGAACCUGGGACCUCUGUGCUUUCUCCUGUUGGUUUCUUCCUUCUCAUUCUCUUCUGUCUGGUUCCCAGGCAUAACUGGGGGAGACAACUUUUACAGUAUAAAGGGUGUGUGUUCCUGUCAGUGGAGGGGAAGGAGAAGAGCUUCAGAGGUUCAGCCACGGCUCGGAGAAGGUGCUCAACAUACCUUGUUUAACUUCAUUUGAACCGUAAAGAACCAGAGACUCAGAGCAUUAAAACUGAACCACGGGCUUCAUUCUCUGCGUAAUUCAAGGCUGCUUUUUCCAUCAGUAGAUCCCAGAGGUGGUUGGACAAGCCUGGUGAUUUCCAUUUACCAACACAGAUUAAGCCUGUCUGGCCAGGCUUCGUCUGGUAGCAUUCUCUUAAUUAAAUAUAAUGACAAUUUGAAUAAAACUUUGCUUCUUUGAACAUUUAAAAAACCCUCACUGUGUCAGCCUCUGUUUGUUAUUGUGGGGCAUGACAGUUAUCUGAAGAGAACCAGCCAGAUUUAAUCUGACAGCCACAGUCAGGGAAGAGUGCUACCAAUCUAAUUACCCAGUAAUCUAGUCAGAAUGAGAGUAAUUCUAGGCCUUUCUCAGGCAGCUAAUCACAUUUCCUGUACAUUAGCAGCCACACAUGGGGAGCUUUUAGGGACAAGGUUUUUGGUCUGCAUGGGUUUUGUGAGCCUCAUAGUGGUGUGAUUUCUUUGUUGACUUCCCCCAAAGUAGGUUCUUCAGGCUUUUUUUUUUUUUUUCCUGCUCCUUCCUACCUGUCCCUUCAUUGCUAAGAUGUUCUUAGUUCACCUGCAAGUUCUAAGUUUGACAACCUUGUGACCUUCCUUUCAGAAUGCAGCAGCAGAAGAGAGGUGAAUACGUGGAUCGAUUUGCUUAUUUUCUGGUGCAGGAACAAAUUAAGGAAUGCUAUGCAAUCAGUGGGGUGGGGUAAAUGAAAAAGUCAUUUUCCUACAAGGAAAGCACCGUUUUUUGUGGUUUUUUUUUUUUUUUGCGAACUGUUUUGCAUGUCAUUUCUCUGUUGUGGUAGGCAAUUUUAGAAAGAGGUUUUGUAGAGAAAAAGAGCAAGUGAAAAAAGACAGCAGAUAGUCUGUCAGUGGCACUGAAUGUCAAGCUCUAGGCAAUAUCAAUAAUGCAUUAUUUCAAUAAUCAGAAUUUUAACAAGGAAUGUGAAGACUGGGGGAAAAAAAAGGAGGAAAAAGAAAAGUAUACCUAGUGAACAGGAGAACUUGUGCCUCCAUGUUAAUUAAUACCCUGCCAUACUCUUUCUCUGAAAACCUCCAUUUAGGAUAAUUUCGUAUUAUUUCUAGAAAUCAAUAUGUUUUUCAAGUGCAUUGGUUUCUGACAGGCCAAAAUUAAAGUGUCUCUGAAAAAUCAUUAUACCAGCACCGGUCUCUUUUCUUCUAGUCCUAUAUUUGGAAAAUUCCUCCAACUUUGCAUAAUCACUACUUGGUCAGUUGGAAUCUAAAUAUUUGAAUCUAAUAGAGGGGAGUUCCAGUCAUCAGUCGGUUUAUAAUAUAGUAAUUUCCCCCAAGUUAUCCGGGAUAAAUAGACUUCCCAAAUAGCCUCUAGCACUCAUAACACAUUAGCUGGAAGGCUAUAAAAAAGAGGAAAUGUGAGUGCUGUGUUAAAUGGUUGUGUUAUAAUCUUGAACAGGUUUCAACCACAGUUUGCACUCUCUCAGCUGAAAUUUUUUUGUGAACCUAAAAUUGUUUUUAUUCCUGUGAUUGUGGGAGUGACACAGCCCAAGGGGCUACCUCGUCUGGGUGUGCCUCCCUGCCUCCCUGCGCCUCCCUGCUGGGUGUGCCUCCCUGCUGGGUGUGCCUCCCUGCUGCUGAAUCACUGGUAGAUUUGGGCCUAGCGUCCGUGAACCUGGAGGCUGGCAUGUCUGGGGCGGGGCAUGCAGUCAGAUUUCCGAGUCAUUGUUGCACUUCUAAUUAUGUUGUCUCCUCAUUUGUUCUAGGUUCAGAUUCCGCAAAAACUGUUGAUGUGAGCUGAUCUAAGGAGUUCAGUAAUACUAUAAAUAGACCCUAGUUUUGGACUAUCACCCAAUAUAAGCGCCUUAUUGCAAGCUCUAUAGUUGUUUGACUCUCAAGUGCAGAUGGAAGUAGAAAGAGUACCACCUAAGAGUAGUUCAUGCUGGCAUUUCCAUCAGUCCUUCCAUGGGUUAGAAUGUGUGUUUCAAUCCAGAUGAAAUGUAUUCUCUGGGUCACUAAUUGAAAUGUUUACCAAAUAGGGCGCCUGGGUGGCUCAGUUGGUUAAGCGACUGCUUUCAGCUCAGGUCAUGAUCCUGGAGUCCCGGGAUCGAGUCCCGCAUCGGGCUCCCUGCUCGGCAGGGAGCCUGCUUCUCCCUCUGAUCCUCCCCCCUCUCAUGUGCUCUCUGUCUCUCUCAUUCUCUCUGUCUCAAAUAAAUAAAUAAAAUCUUUAAAAAAAAAAAAGAAAUGUUUACCAAAUAGAAAUUAUGUUUAAACAUGUCAAUAGGAUGUUGCCUUAUUGAACAACUUUCAUCUGAGAAUGCGAAAACACUUAUGGGAAAUUAUUGCCACAGAGGCUAAUCCCCGCAGAAAUGUUGCCUAACCACAGCUCACUUCUUACAGAAUCAAAAUGAGAAAAGAAAAAAAAUUAUGUUAUAGCGAUGACUUGUAAUGAUUCCAGCAUCUCUUAGGAGAUAAUUGGCAGAAAUAAAAAGAACAGCAGUUCUUACAUUUCUCAAGGCUAUUUCUCAAUACGAGUUAAAAUGAUUCAGGGAUGCAGGAGAGCACGAAGGAGACUGCAUAUUAAGAGCUUAUCUGAGCAAUGAAACCUCUGGGUAUUUGCAAAUGUGGCCCUCUUUUCUCUGCUUUAAACCCUAGAUUUGAAUUACGCAAGUGAUUGUGACCUGCAAAUCAGUAUACAUUCAUUGUUGAUUCUUCUGUUCAAAUUAAUACCUGCUGAAUGAGUUGAGCUUUGUGAAAGUUCAGCUUUGUGUCUCAUUCAUUCUUUGCCAGGGUGUCUGAUGCUGCCCAAGGAAUGUUCCAGGACAAAAGGGUCUUUAUAUAAAUAACAAUAAUAAAUUCCAUUAUUGCCAUAUGUGAAUUAUCAGCCUGCCCUCGAUCAAGUUAGUUUCUGUACAAAGAGUUCUAUCAACUUUGAACUUUAGUUAAAUCGUGAUGAGACAAGGAUUCCAAAUUUUGAUCCAGGAUAGGGGAUCUUCCAUUUUACUGUAUCAUUUUUAAUACUCUUUGUUUCCUAUCACCUCUGAUUUGGUUUCUCUUUUUAAAAAGUCAAUUAAGGUAACAUGUUUUAGUUUGGAGGCAGUCUACUUUAGGCUUGUGAUCAUUUUUCUUUCUUAUACAAUUAAAAAUUUCCAACGGGGUUAUUUGGUGUUCUGCAACAUGGAUGGCAUACCUCCCAUAUUGGCAUUGUUCAAUGGCUUUGAUAAUAUUAAAUGAAUUGGCAAUUUGGGUGAAUUAUUAUUGGCCAUUAUCCAAACCUUCCUCUAAACAUAAUACAGUCUUUUAAAUUUAUAUUGUCUGUUUACAUGAUCCUUUGUCAUUGCCUAAAAUUUGGAAAUUCUUGCAAAGCCCUACCUAUGCAAUCUUGUUGGGCAUGCAGUAAUAUUCUAUAUUGGUAACAGAAUCCUGACACCCUGAAUGAGGUUUCCUUAAAUCGGUGCUGUCCAAUAGAGUAACCAUUUGCCACAUGUACCCGUUUAAAGUGAAAUUUAAGUUAAUUAAUUAGCUAGUUAAUUAAAAUUCGGUUUCUUAGUUGCACUAAUCACAUUUCAGGUGCUCAAUAGCUACAUGGAAGUGGUGGCUUCCUGAUUGGACAUGGCAGGUGUAGAAUAUUUCUGUCAUGGCAGAAAGUACUGGUGGAUAGCACUUCCUUAAAUACUUGAUAAACUUGCAAAAGAGAGUAUCUACAUUGACUCAGAGGCUGAGAGCAAUUGUGGCCAUACAGUCCCAGGCUCAGUACCAGAAACAGCAAAGUCAAUGAAAGUGGCUGAGACUCUCGGAAGGUCCACACUUGUAAUUACACCUCAUCAUGAAUUCGUAUUGAAAUUAAAUGAAGUCAUUCGAAUGUUCGUUGUAUUAAAUUCUUUAAAAGGAACAGGGCAAACAGCCACUUGACAGUUCUUUUUAUUUCACUGCUCUUAACAUGUCACCUAACGACUCCUACAAAUAUGUCCACUUCUAACUCCUGGUUAAAGUUUCUUAGCAAUUAUUCCGUUUUCACUUCAUACAAAACCACAUCUCCACCAUACCAGGCAAGGGCUCAUUUCUCCUCCUUCUUUUUCCUUCCUGAUUACAGCUUUCUCUUCCUUUCUUUUUAAUUCUGUGCCCUUCCCUGCCCUUCCCUUGGCCUUCCCUUGCCCUUCUCUUGACCGUUCCUUGCCCUUCCUUUGCCUUUCCCUUCCCUUCCCUUUCUCUUCCCCUGUUCCUACAAUUCUGUCUUAAUGAUAUUGUCAGAGGGAAGGAAGGGAGAAGAGUUAAGUGUGUCUUUUAAAGUAAAUAUUCUAUUUUUGGAAUCUCCUACUUGGUUCUGGUUAAGUAGAGACACUUUGGGGCAAGUGAGCUAUCUUUUGUACUUAUCAUCCUCCUUCUGAAUGUGUAUAUGUACGUGUGUAGGAUUUGGGGGUGGGGGCAAAUAUCAGGUUCUACAGUAUCUUUCCUCUCUUUUCUAUCAAAAUGCUAGAACCUGAAUGUCCAUGAGGCUGUGGUGACCCUUGCCAGGAAGCAUCUUAGCUCUCUGUAGAUACCUUUGCUUGUUCUGCUUAAAAGCUGGCACACAUCAAACUCCAAAAAAGGCUUGUCUAAGGUUCAAAGUUUUCCCAUGAGACAGUCAGAAGGAAAAAGACUAAAUGUUCUAUUGUCAGGUUUCUAAAUAGAGGGGGGACUUCAGGAAGACAAAAUGUGCUGGAAUAAUUUAGUGCACAAAUGCACAAAAUGAAACAAGUUGUGUUACUCGCUAGUGUCUUUAAAAGCAUAGAAUUUUCAAGAACUCCGGGUGAUUGGGCGUAUGUUAUACUUUUCUCAGGCUGUGUAUUCAGAGCAGGAGGUAACCUCUUUCAAAAACACGCUUUUACAAACCUGAAAGGUUAAGAUUUGGUGAUUUCAUAGCACUCUGAUAUAGGUAAAUAAUUUUUUUUUUUUAUUUGCGUGAGAGAGAAUGAGAGACAGAGAGCAUGAGAGGGAGGAGGGUCAGAGGGAGAAGCAGACUCCCUGCCAAGCAGGGAGCCCGAUGUGGGACUCGAUCCCGGGACUCCAGGAUCAUGACCUGAGCCGAAGGCAGUCGCUUAACCAACUGAGCCACCCAGGCGUCCCUAGGUAAAUAAUUUUUUAAACUGAAUUAUUGGCGUAUUUUUUAACUGAUUACCCUGAAAAUAUAUGAGUUGUUAAAUAUAUUUUUAAAACCCUCAGAUCUCUUGUGAAUGGCCUGCUGCUUUUUUACUGUCAGCAAUAUUUAACCCACUGCCGUUCCCAGAGCACGCUGUGCAUGUGCUUUCUCUAUAACUAGAAUGCACUCCUACCUAUCAACUAUUUUGAGAACUUGGACUUAUCAUUCAAUUUUGCCCACUUGCUGCAUUUGCAAUGAAGAUCUGCCACCCCCAUAUUAGCAAUCUACUGCUACAUAGCAAGUUACCCGAAUGCUUAGCAGCUUAAAACAACAUUUGUUAUCUCAGAGCCCCAUUAGGUCUAGAACCUCUGAGUGGCUUAGGUUCUUGGAGCUUCUAAAUCAUCUUGCAGUAAAGGAAAGCAAUUUUGUAGCAUUCUUAGCUUUUCCCUAAACAUCUCAAAAUGUCUAUUUUUUUUUCUUGUAAAAUAAGCUUGUAAGAAAUAAACUUGUAAGAAAGCUUAUUCCUAGUCACUUCAAUACAUUAACAUGGUUGGAAGAAUCUCAGAGAACCCCAAAUGUAAUCCUUACAUCAUUCUUAUUUUUCAGUUGCAUUUGAGCCAGUUCAUGUCACUGAAAUACCCAAUACAAAAGAAUAAACUGUCUCAUUCUUCCCAACUUUAGGAAAAUGCCCUAUGAUGAAUCAAUGCAAAUUCACCACCUGUUUUGAGAUAUAGAAGGCCUUUUGGUCGAACUUACAUGAUGACACUGUCCUCAUUUCCAGCUUCAGAAAUAAUUGUGAUUUUUAAUAACAUAACUCCUUUGGUCCAAGGCUCUCAAGAUCUGUUAGUCUGUUACACACUCAUUCAGUCCUUCCCUUCUUAUAAACACUACAUGUUGCCGUGUUAUAUUUUUUUACUUUUAAUUAAUUUUUAAUUUAUAUUUUAUUCAGUUGUUGAAUAGACAUUCUCUUCACAUGGCAGUAAAUGUUCAGACAUGUCUCCUUCUACCCCUGACCAUCAUUAAGACAAUUUCUCUCCUGAAGUCUAGGAAAUCUUGCUAUGUGGCUUCUCCCAUUCAGGGUUGUGCAAAUGUCAUGUGAAUUUAUCAUUACAUUACCAACUGUGUCAUCAAAUUCUAACAGGUGACAAUUUAAACUCAUAAAAGCACAUUCUUAGCAUUAGUUUAGCUAGCUGGGCAAGGUAAGUGAGUAAAGUAAAUAUUUGAUUUGUGGCCUGUGAAAGUGUAUAUUACUUGGGUUCUUACAAGUUGUAAGAAAAAAAGUACUGUCAGGAGUGAUGAGUGUCUAUUAUAAGCAUAUGUGGGAACUGAGGAAGCAUAAUGGACAUUUUUGGUAGCUGCAAGUCAUUCUGGAUCUCAGAGAUCCCCAGUCUGAAGUGGUUUCUUUCUUUCUUUUUUUUUUUUUUAAGAUUAUUUAUUUGAGAGAGAAAGAGAGAGAGAGAAGAGCGAGCAAGGACAGGAGUUGGGGGGAGGGGCAGAGGGAGAGGGAGGAGCAGACUCCCGCUGAGCAGGGAGCCCGAUGCGGGGCUCGAUCCUGGGACCCCAAGAUCAUGACCUGAGCCAGAGGCAAAUGCUUAACUGAAUGAGCCACCCGGGUGCCCCUGAAGUGUUUUUAUUUAUUUAUUUUUGGUUUGGUUUGGUAUUUUCUGUUUGUUUGUGAGUCAGAAGCUAAUAAUUUUUAUUUAUUUUUAAUUAAUUAUUUCUUAAAUUCAAGUAUAAGUAACAUCCCAGUCUGAAAUGCUUAAGAAACAACUGGACAGGUGGCAAUGGCACACUGUCAUUCAUGAAACAUGGAUAAGUCUACUCACCAUAUUUUCUUCUACCCAGAAGCAAGUUUUGACUAUCUUUUUGUGUGUAUUCAUAUACUCCUAAAAGAUAAAUUGCUUAAAAAUAAAUAAAUAAAUAAAUAAAUAAAUAAAAGAUAAAUUUCUGAGUGUAUCAGUCAGUAUGCAAUGUGGAAAUCCUCUGGGUGGUCUCUCACCAAACCCAUGAUUAUGUCCAUGGAUGCCACAGACUCCAGCGUGAACUCUAGCAUAGACUUCUGUGGUCAGGGUGGUAGAGUCAAGUGGCACAAGACCAGCAUUCCUAGACAGAAAAGAUUAUUCCCCUUGGUCACUCCCCUCAGAAAUGGGGUUGUGGUAGGCAAGACAGGCACAUAAGCAUUUCAGAGAUUACUCAGAGGAGAGGGUUUUACAUUGUAUUUAGUUUAGCAUCCUUACAUACAUGCUAUCUGAUUUUAUUUUGAAGACAUUGUCUAAAAGAUAAAAAAAAAAAAAGAACAAACAUUUUCUCAUUUUGCAAAUAGCGAACACCCAGAAAAGUUAGUGUAUUUGAAUUUUUUCUAUGAGAGGUCUAGCCAAUACUUGCAACCCAAGUACAUCAACCACACCCUUGCUUUUUCUACUUGAAAUGAGAGUUCCAUUAUGGCAGACAAAGUGUCAAUUAUAUGUAGGGUUUGACAAGGUAUUUGCCCAGUGGACAAAUGAAUCGAAUUAGACAAGACAAUUUAAUUACUGAGUAAGAAACUGCUUAAGUUACUAAAAGGCAGCACAAAAGUUGUUUUUCAGGUAUGUUAGCUAAAAGUGUCCAUUUUAUUAAAACUAUACUCUUGUGAGAUUUUCUAAUCCUUCAAUAAAUCUAGUGGUCUUAACUGCAUUUCAGAAAUUUAUUAGACAUCAUGUUGUGUUUAGGAAUGGUAGUUUAUUCACCAGGGUAUAAAUGCAAUUUAUUUUAUAGAACCUGAAGCCUUGAUAUGGUUCUAUACUCCAGGAUAAAUCCCAACUACCUUAGUUGUUGCUUUCUUUUGAUAUUGCCUUUUAAAAAAUCAAAUCAAUUUAUUACAGUAUCAAACCAAUAGGCUAUCAAGCUGUCACAUGAAAAGCUAUAAGACUCACUUAAUAAUAAGCUCUUUGGCACAAAAACAAAUGCUUCCACUGCCUUCAGAGACUACUGAUGCCAGGGUAUGGAAAUCAGAACAAGGCUCUUGCUUAGGCCUCCAUUUGGCUUGAGAAGACUGAUACAUGUAAGACACAAUGGAUGUGCUACCAUACAUAUUAUGAGUGUUUGAUUUUUGCAAUUAAAAAAUUGGGGAAAUUCAAACUAUACUCAACACAUUUUUGAAAGAAAACCGUUUGCUUUAUUGUGGGGUGGGAACUAGGGGUGUUGAAUGUGAUUAUUAUUCUUUAAACGUGAAAAAGUAGAUUUUGGCACAACUGAAGAAAACUUUACUAAAGUCACAUGUCAUGAUAAAUAUAGAGGUGAAGUUUCACCUCUGUGAAAAACCAGAAAUUAGGCAAAAAAUUCACUUUGAUGUAUAUUAGCUAUCAAAAGUAAUAAAACACACACAUACAAGUGCACACAUGCAAAGAUAUAUACAAAUUUUGAUUGAAAGUUGGUUAAUUUUAAGCACUGUUAGUCCUAAAGUAGUAAUAUUUUGCACUAUCCUAAAUAGGAUUUCAGCAUAUUUUUCACCCAGGACUGCAGUGAUAUAAACCCUAUUGACUACUUAGCAAUGACAGGAGGGGUCAUUGGUAGUGUAGCAAAAUCUUGUUCAAUUCAGUUCUACAUACAAGUUGCCAUGUCUCAUAUCAGGAUUUUGAAUACAUUCUAGAAAUAAGCAGUAUAAUUCCACUUAGCGUACUUCCUUAUUACAGGUUUUUCAAAAGUAAAUGAUAAUUUUUAUCAUUUUUUAAGCCAACUUAAAAACUUACUCUAAAUUCCACAUGGGAGUAAAAUCAUAUGGUAUUUGUCUUUCUCUGACUGACUUAUUUCACUUAGCAUAAUACCCUCUAGUUCCAUCCAUGUCAUUGCAAAUGGCAAGAUUUCACAAAACAGAUGAAAUAGGGAAGGGAAGGAAAAAUAAAAUAAGACAAAAACAGAGAGGAAGGCAAAUCAUAAGAGAUUCUUAACUCUAGGAAACAAACUGAGGGUUGCUGGAGGGAGGUGGGUAGGGCAAUGGGGUAAUUGGGUGAUGGGCAUUAAGGAGGGCACUUGAAGUAAUGAGCACUGGAUGUUGUACGCAACUGAUGAAUCACUAAACUGUACCUCUGAAGCUAAUAAUAUAGUAUAUGUUAAUUAAAUUGAAUUUAAAUUAAAAAAUUAAAAAAAAUCUUAUUCUAGCACACUCCUACCCAAACAUACACAAAUAAGUAACUAUAUUCUCCUCCUUUAGUUUAGAUACUCACUGGCCAUAAAAUUCUGGAGACAGUAGAAAAUCCCCCCUUUUUGGUGAAAACGGUAGUCAGAAGAUAUCUUUGAUCCCAAACAAUUGAAAAGUGUAGAAAUUUCAAUGUUUUGCCAAAUUCCCAACACCUUCCUAAAAUAUCAGAAACACAUAAAGAUGAAUGCUGUCAUAUUUUUCUCAGCUGCAAUGCCAUCCUGUUUUCCACAAAUAUAAAUUCUUGUAUUAAUAAAAACGUUCUACUGAAACUUCUAAAUUUUUCCACAACCUCAUAUUCUUGUAGGGAGUUGGGAGAUGAAGUAAAGAGAGAGAGACAAAACCCCAUAUAAAUGGAAGUUAUUUAAGAUAUCACCAGGGUGCUCAUCAAAAUGUAUGGAACCCAGAUAAACACUGAGGAUUAGAUAAGAAAACCAACAAAAUUUUAAAAUUUCUAUGCCUACCUUCAACCAUUUAAUAUGUAAUCACAAGUCAGUGGUUUUAGGAUCCCUACCAGUGACCUUACAAUUAUAUGCCUGAUAUUUAAUUGAGGAAGAGUUCAUUAAGAGGCUGUGGCAGAAUUUUAUUGCUCAUAUAUGUAGAAUAAGAGACAAAAUAAAGAUUUCCCAAAGAAAGUUCUUUUGGAAGCGUCUAGAUCACUCAUGAAAAGAGUGAUUCAUGGUGUUUGAAUAGGCACAAUAUUUGGAAUUUUGUUUCUCAAACAUUUUUCAGGUCUGUUUUAAGACAGAAGCCCUCUAAAUCUCGGAGGUUCCAAGGGAAUCUCCUUACCAAACCACAUGUUUUCUUGUGAAUUUGUGAACUCUAAGGAAAUGCAGAUUUCAUAGUAUUAAUUUUCUGCUCCUAGAGGCUGACCUCUAAAACUCAGAGCCUGUUUUAUUCUCUUUGGACUGAACAUACAUGAAAGUUAGAAGAGAGGGCGCCUGGGUGGCUCAGUUAAGCAUCUGCCUUCAGCUCAGGUCAUGAUCCCAGAGUCCUGGGAUCAAGUCCCACGUCGGGCUCCCUGCUCAGUGGGGAGUCUGCCUCUCUCUCUGCCUCCUUGCUUGUGCUCUUUCUCUCUCACUCUCUCUCUCUCAAAUAAAUAAAACCUUAAAAAAAAAAAAAAAGAAAGGAGAGAGAAUUUGUAGAAGCAAAGAAAUGGCUAGCAGCAGGAUUUAUGUAGGCGGCCAUGUGGACUGGAAAUCACCUUCUAAAGUCAAAUUCCAGAUGAAGGAGUGGAUUAAGAUAUCAAAUAUUUGGAGAUACUAGUUAGAAAAGAUUUAGUACCCAGAAAAAUAAAAAGAAAAGUCCUCAUAAAGAAUUACUUUACUUGUUAAUGUUUGCUUAGAAAUCUUUGUGGUAAUGGCAUUAUGGCAAAGCUUUAGGUCCAUACAAACCUAGUGUUUAAUUCCAGAUGUGUUGCCCAUUACCUAUGAGAUCUCAGAUAAGCUACUUAAAGUUUUUGAGUGGCAUGUCCUUGACUGAAUAAAUGGGAUAAGUAUGUGUACAUUGCAUGGUUAUUUUGAGGGCUACGGGUAUUGAAUAGCAAAUUUUAACGUAAAACCUGGAAAAUAUUAAGUUACAACUACUAUGACUUCUCCUUUUUUAUCCUUAUCAUCAUCAUCAUCAUCAUCGGAGAUGCACAAUUCUGUUUAAAAUCUAAAAGAUGAUAUAGAGCUGAAGGCAGCCAUGUCUGAAGUGUGUUUAACUACCUAAGCCAGAGAUGCAAUAAUUUCAGGAUUAAUACUGUUUACAUCCAGCUAAAAGAUUCUAAGCCGGGACCAGGAGGAGGAUAUGUAUUUAUGGGCUUCUAGGUGGUAAGAGUCUUUGUGCACAAACCUUAAUUAACAGAAUCAUCCUUCACACUAGUAACACUUUCACUGGGGUAUUGGCCCAUAUCUUUUGGGGGAAUACUUUUUCACCAAUAAGCCCCGCAGCUACUCCUUAAACCACCAAUAGCAAACACCAUUAUAUAGCUCUACUUCAGUCACAGUUCUGCUUUUCAUGACUUUGCCACCAGUCAAGAUUCUUGACCACAGUACCAUGCUUGGGAAGGUCUAACGUUUUCCAUGGGACAGAAAUUUUUCAGUCCUCAACUUCAAGGUCAGCUUUGUAAAGCCACAUUUUUAGUGUCUUCAUAAAUCUUGUUAUAAUUCACUCAUUCAGCCAUAUUUACCGUUCUGUGCUCAAGAAUUCGUAAGGACGUAGUGUUUUGCAUCCCUCCUGAGUGGUCUUCCUCCCCACGUUGCCUCCCUGCAAGAAGGGAGACUGGCAGUGCGUCAAUGUGCAGGUGCCACUUAGCUGGUACCUCUGCCCCACCCCACUUUUUAACAUCUGCCAGCGUAGACACAAGGUUGAAAAGAAAGGAUUGGAAAGAUCGACAGAAAAGGCACUGUGUAUAAUUCCAAUUCCGAUUGUUUUAAAGCCAUUUGUUCCCUAAAGAUUUAUUUAUUUGAGAGCAAGAGAGAGAGAGAGCAUGAGUGGAGGAGGGGGCAGAGGGAGAGGGAGAAACAGACUCCCCGCUGAGCAGGGAGUCAGAUGCCAGACUGGAUCCCAGGACCCUGGGAUCACGACCUGAGCCGAAAGCAGACGCUUAAUGAAUGAGCCACCCAGGCACCCUAAACCCAUUUUUAAAGUGACAAAACUGGGGCAUAGUAAGGGAAGAAUUUGGUGAUGGAAGAAUCUAGUUUUCUAACUCUUUAGUGACAUAUAGUAAAUAUAGAGCCACAAGCUCACAUGCCUUCAGGGUCCACCAUGAUUAUUGGCCACAAGGUUUUCACAUGGACACUGUAGCAAAUUAGAGAGUGUAUCCUGGAGAAUAGGGGAACACCACUACUUAUGUACAGCUAUUAGGUGUCCUGAGAUGUGGGAACAUGGGCUACAUAUGACCACAUCUUCUGAUUUUCAAGAAAAGCCAAAACACAGAUUGGUGUGUGUGUGUGUAUGUGUGUAUGUGAGCACACAUGGCACGUGUGUGUGUGUGUGUGUGUGUGUGUGAUAUGUGAACAUUAGCAACUAUUUUUUAAGGUGGUACUCACCAAAACCUGGCCUCAUGGACCUCAGAAGAUUAGGGUGCUGCCUCUAGAUCCAUAUACUUUUCUUCAUGUGGCAUUUAAACUGCAGCCCUCUUGUUUUAUUCCGUAGCCUUUCCCUCACACUCUUUCUCCCUCAGUGUCUUCAUCUGUGAAAUAGGGAUAAGAGCAUUUGUUUUUCUGCCUCCAAAAGAUCAAGGAUCAUGGCGCAUGUGAAGAUUAAUGAGGUCAUUUGGUUAAGUGUUUCUUGCUGGGUGGAAGAACGAUGGCUUAUGAAUACUAAUAGCACUUGAAUCAUGUGAGCUUUCAUGGAAAGAGAGUUGGACCAUUUAGCUCCCCGUCUGCAGGGAGUUAUAAAGAGGGAACCAGGGAGGGAGAAGCUGAAAUUAUUUCUUCACGACUGUCUCCUGUGGUGAACUGUGAAGGGGCAUUGGGAAUGCUGAGAGAUUGUCUGCCUGAUACUAUAGACUCUGUAUGCAAUGCAAUCUGGAAGAGAGCAAGACCCUCACUAUGUGAGUUUGUGAAAUUUUACCUGUUGGAGAAGGGUGAGCAGGUGUGGAUCGGAAAUAACAUUUUAACUAUCUACCUAAGGACCUGGCUCACAACCCAUUUUUAUGUUCUAAUCAAACUGUCUUUUUACCACUGGCCUCUCACCCUCCCUAGUAUGUUAGUUAGGGUAGGCUAACUAUUGAAACGUACCUGACAUAUUAUUAUCUUAACCCAAUAACAGUGCAUUUCUUUCUCAGAUACUCUUGGUUUGUGAGUGACAUUUCAUAUAAUGAUUCAGAAAACCAUGCCUCUUCCAUGCUAUGGCUCCGUCAUGCUCUGGGCCUCCCCAUUAGCUGGCAAAUGGGCUAAGAAUGCAGUGAAUUACAUAUGGAAGAUCACUACGAGCCAAGUGUGGAAGUAAGACACGCCAUUUUGGCUCCCAUUCCCUUGGCUAGAACUCAGUCACACUGCCACACAAGACAGGCUGGGAAGUGGAGUCAAGUUUGCCCCAGGAAGAGAAAAUCAUUUUGAUCAGCCAGUAGUCACUGCCAAGCCUGACAUGUUUCAUACAUUUGUCCUUACAUUUUAUCAUCUGUUAGAUACAUGGUUGAUUUCUUUAACAUAAGACACUGAUGAUAGACUUUGCUAUUCCCUUUACUCUGUUGCAUCUCUGUAGGCAGCAUGCUAGUUUCUUGGUUUUCUCGUAAACAUUUUGUACAAUAUUUUGAAGGCUUAGUUUUGUUUUCUUUUAACCUUUCUGUUCCUUCCAUAUACUAAAUACAUCAUUCUCCAUGUUACUGCUUUGAAGGGAGAUUUCUUCUCCACUGACUGUUGAGAGUGUUUAAGUUUGAAUACCUUUGUUGUCUGUAAGAAUUGACAGUAACUAAUGUAGCCUGUUAUUGUCUAUGAUUUCCUUAGCUAUGGCUCCUGGUGGAAAUUUUUGAUUCCUGGGUACAAAUCCAAAAAUAUGUUUAUUUUUAGUUUUUGAUUCUGAAACUGUUAUGGGGGCAGCGUUUCCUUUGGAGUGAUGUGUAAUGUAAAAAUAAAAUGAUUAAGUAUUGUGAAAUUAUACAGUGACUUUGAUUAGUGUAGGCAGUCAAUACUAAUCAAUGCACACAAAACAAUACAAACGAUCUUCAUCUUUUAGCACAACAUUUUAUUAGGUGUGACUGUUAAUGGUUGAUAAAUGAUAAUGGAAAAGAUUCAUACAUAUCCACCCAAGCUUGUGCUUGUCAUGAGAAUUGGCAAUCUAUGAAGAACAUAGGCUUAUUUAAUCUUUGACAGAAUCUCUGUUCAAAAAUCCAUGAAAAUGGGCGGCACCUGGGUGGCUCAGUCGUUAAGCAUCUGCCUUUGGCUUAGGUCAUGAUCCCAGGAUCCUGGGAUCGAGCCCCACAUCGAGCCCCACAUCGGGCUCCCUGUUCAGCGGGAAGCCUGCUUCUCCCUCUCCCACUCUCCUUGCUUGCAUUCCUUCUCUCACUGUGUCUCUCUCUGUCAAAUAAAUAAAAUCUUUAAAAAAAAAAUCCAUGGAAAUGGAAGCUUUAAGAUACUAAAAUGUAAAUAAGUGACAAAAAAUACCCUAUAAUAAUUAUCUAUCUCUAUACAGUGGAGUAUAAUGGCUAAGAGCUCUAUAGCCAGACUUCCCAGACUUGAAUCUGAAACACACUAACUCUUGUCUGUGAUUCUCGGCAAGUUAAUUCUGAAACUCCAUUUCCUCUUCUGUAAAAAGAAGACAAUAACAGAAAUAGAGCUAAUUAUGUCAUGAGGAUCAAUCAGAUGAUGAUUGUCAAGAGUUUAUGACAAUUCAUAGCAAGUCAAAAGCAUUUGAUAAGCCACAGAGAAGACAAGCAUCUUCUUACAAAGAAAAAUGGUUUAAAACAAUGCUUAAAUGCUGUGGGCAUAGCAGUCUCCUGAAUAUCUGUUAGUAUGGAGAUUCUGGUACUGUAGGUCCAUCAUGGAGCCUGAUAUUCUGCAUUUCUUAAAGUUUCUGGAUUAUAUUGGUGUUGCUGGUCCAUGGAACACACUUUGAAUAUAAAGGAGCUAAACUUUAUAGUUAUAUCCCUAUGUUAGUCUUGGGUUAUCAGUUGUUUAUUGAAUGUGGUGAUUUGAUUCAUGGCAGAUGAUGGGAAAGAAUUCUUCAUGAUACAAAAUAUCUGAAAAGCUUCCAUAAGUGAUUAUGAUCCAAGACAUGAUGUUGAACCAGAUGUCUAAGGAACAAAAGAAAUAAUCCAAAAUUUCAUUCGUGUUGUAUUUUGUGUGCUGUGCUUUGUGUCUGAGGCCAGUGUGCCCGAACUUUCAAAUCUGGGUCAUCUGUUCAUUGAGCUCUUAGUCACAACACUCUACUGCCUUUGGAUAGAAAACUAUUACAGAAUAUUUCUUGUCCUGUGUUUACAUUUUAAUAUCUUGAAGCUUUGUAUUUUCAUAAAUUAUUAAACAGAAGCUUUGUCAAAGGUUAAUUAAGUCUAUGAAUUGCUAUGGCCCAGGAAUGUGGUCUUAAGGGCCAAUGACAUAAGGUUGAUAUGCUUCAAUAUUAAUGAGACUUUUUGAUAUUCUGAUUUAUUUGCUGUUUGUUUUUAACAUGAUCUCUUUGAGCUGCUAUCUGCCAUGAUUGUUCUGUCCUUAUUUCUUUACUAUGCUGAAGAAAAAAGUAGAAAUUUAAAUGGAAGGCAAUAAUUGGUUCUUAAGUUGUCUAGCCUUUUUUGGCUUAUGUUCCGGUAAAGCUUGUUGCAUCUCUUUUUCAAAGCAGUGUCUUGGGAUUCCUGCUAGGUUACUUAAUUUAGGUCACUAUUGUUUCCAUUAAUAACAUCUAUAUUUUCCCCUUACAUACAUUUCCUGCUUAAUGUAUGUCAUGGUAAGAAUUCUAUAUUAUUCGGAUUUUGAAUCCUUUAAUUUUUGUUGAUCAUCUUCUAAAUAUUGCUUUGUUUUCCUCCUCCUUUAGAGUAAACCUAUCUUUAUUUUAAUGGAGUUUUAUGGCUGAGUUAAGAUUUUGGGUACUGUUGUCAAUGGCCUGGGGCUGGGUUUUGAAGAUGCAGGGUUGGAUUCCCACUUUUCCCUUUGUUGUCCUUGCAUCUGUCCUUCUGCUAAAUGUCCAUAAGGAAUGGUACAAUGCUUAUAACUUAGAGAGGUGGUUGAGGAAGCUCCCAUAGUUUAGAACCCUUGGCACCCACCUUACCAAAAUUGCAGCCCCUACUUCUUAUCACAAUGUGAUAAGAAGGCUACUGUGUACCCUCAAUGCACAUAUUUUCAGACUGGAGAAAAAAAGGUAUGUAAUAAGUGUGAUUAUAAUUAGUCAUAUAUUUAUAAAUAUUAUAUAUAUACAUAUAUAUAUCUGAAAAUUUAUGAAGUCAUGACACUUUCAGGAUUGAAAGCAUUGAAGGAACCUAUUUACACACUUUGACAUCUCCUAGUGUUUUCAAUGAAAGUGCUAAUUUAUAUUACCUAUUUCUAAGCCCUGGAAAGAAGGGAAUGUGAAAAUUAAAUGACAAUAAAUAAAUGUUUUAUUUUUUCUAGAAAAAUAGUCAAUGCCGUAUAUGUAUUAACCAACCCAUUUCAAAUGUAUACCGUAGAGGAUACCCAGAUUUUUGUGGUAAAAAACUGACAGUUAAAAACAAGUAGGCAUUCCUAAAUUGCCCGAAGUUAAUGACAGAGCCAAGUUGUCAAUGCAAACUGCAAACACACAAAAUGCCACCACUACGGGGAAAUGGGGAUCAGAAGUGGAUGCUUCGUGCCCUAAAGUUUUCUGAGCAUACUAAUUAUUUGUUGGCUGUGCCCAUCUCGAAAUAAUUGUUAUCUUUGAAUUCUACCCAUGUGAUUCAUCUCCCUUCUAUUUAACUGCCCCUCCAGAGAUUUUCUCUACAUGGGAACCUAGGAAUAAAAGAUACAGAAAUAAGAGGGAGGUGAUCCACUGAUGGGUUGUUCAUAGAAAGCUUGUACUGCUAGGGCACCAUCUUUAAAUUUUAUUUGUUAAUAUAAAUGAUAUAAAACAUCUGGUCCUUCCGAGAAUCUCUUUAGUUGUGAACAUAAAUCUGAGCUAGUUUUAAUGAGUGUCUGGGGUUUAUAUUAGUGUAAGUUUGUUAUCUACCAAGAUGGAAGACAGUGAAGUCCUUGGAGGCAGAGGUUCCUGCCUGAUGGGUAGUUCUUUGGAGACAAAAGCUGUGCCUCAUUUUCUGUAACAGCCCGGGUCAUACAAUGCCUCUCAUAGAGUAGGAACUCAAAAAAUGUGUAUUGAAUUAAUGUUGUGUCUCCACCCUUUCCCCCUGUGACUUACAAUGUAAUAAACAAAAAAAGACUUAGUGUUUUAAAUCACCCCCAUGAACAUUUCAUGAGAGAGAUAUUUAAUUCCUAUCAUAUCCUAUGAAAUGAACAAAUGACCAGUAACUCCUAAAAAUUCCUUAGUAGCAAUGUUAACAUAUCUAACAAUGUAAUUAAGUUUUUGUGAGGUUUUUUGUUUUUGUUUUUGUUUGUUUGUUUUUUACAUAAUGAUGACUUCUACUCUGGAUUAUCAGUAAUGCCAUUUUGGGUCAUAUGAAGACAGAACAAUUUUCUAUAGUUUUUAUUAUUAAAGUGGCCAUGAAGCCAUAUUUGUGGUCUUUAGUGAAGUAUUUUUCUGAUUUUCCUAAUAAUUUGAUGACUUCCUGCCAAAAGGGACAAAAAGUUCUUUUAGGGAGUCUGGAAUAGUACAAUAGCAUUGAGGAGUCAGUUAGUCAUCAGAGGCAAGAGGCAGUUUCUGGAAAUAAAAGGAGAUCUAUACUAUAACAACUCAAGUGAAUGGUCUGACCACACCAGGCAUCGGUGGGAAGCUCCUCAAAAUCUAUCAUGAUCAGUGAUAUCCAUAGGUUAUUUCUUUUUUUAAAAAAUAUAUCAGAUAAAAAGAUUAAUAAGUUUUGGUUAGCUCAUAUGUUCCUUGAGAGCAAGUCUUUGUUGGUUUCCCAACAAGUGUGAGUAUUGGUGUUCCCAGUGCGAGUUCUCCAGUAGCUGGAGGAGCAGGAACUCAAUAAAUAUUUUAGAUGAAUGAAUAGAUUAAUUACUCAACUGGAUAAUGUCUGUGAUUCAGGUUCCUAAUUUUGAUAAAAUUUUUAAAAUAAAAUCUGUUAAAAGUUUUCUACUAAAUACUACAAUUGGGUUGAUGUGUAAGUGAGAAUGAACACCUUGAAAAUGGUGAAAUUUUCUAGUACUCACUUAGACAAUGAGUUUCACUACGUUUAAGACAGGAAGAGAAUAAUGUCUCUAGUUUGCAUCCAGAAAUGUGAUAUUUAAGGGAAUUGGAUGCCAAGUACAUCUGUUCAUCAAGGUUACUCUUAGCCUGUAUAUAUUUAUAUGACUUGUCAUUGUUCUCCAAAGUUGAGACAAUGGUUCUUUUUAAAUAUGUUAGAUCAACCCAGUGGAAUAGGGAUGAUAAAGCAUUAUUCAGGGAAAUAGGACGGAGUCAAGAAAAUCUCACUUAACCAAACAUCAACUUGAUAAUAGGUUUAAAUAAAAAGAAAAUAGUUUGUUUCUUUGGAGCCUUAGAUGUUAGAAGAUACUUAAAUUCUUUGAAUAUUAACUCUGUUAAUGGAAGCCCAGUUGUAUAUAUGGAUUGAAGCAUAGUUUAGCACACUUCUAGAUUAAUGGGUUUAUUUCUGAACACCAAAUAGAAAAGAGCUCAUAGAGGCCACAUUUACAAUCAUUGUGGAUUUCUGCACAAUGCAAGAACCCUUAUUCUGCAUGUGGAAGGCUGGGUGGAUCGAACCUUUUCUUUGCUAUUUUUAUUGGGAUCUUAUUAACACGAGACCACUGAAGAACAAAUAAAUUUUACAUAGCCUCAGAGGAAAAUACAACCCAUUAUAUAUCAGUGACUCAUCAUAAUUGAAUUGUCAUUUUUUUCUUGUAAGACAUUAUUAUAUUUUGAAAGUAAAAUAGUUUACAUAUUUCAACCUUAGGUAGAUUUAAUGAUUCUAACAUUUUACACCAAAGAAAUAUUUCAAUAAUUUAGGAUUCUUUUUCCUUCUCUCCUUCCCAAUUCCUGUCUCUCCCAGCUUAAAAUAGUCAGUUUGUCAGGAAUGAUAUCAUGAACAUAAACAUUCUGAUAAUAGCCUCUUCUGUGCAAACAAAACUGAUGGUAGGAUAAACAGUUGCUCUAAAUAAGUAAGCACUAAGUUCUCUGUUUCUCUUUGAGGUUUUAUAACUUACUCAGAACCCAUUUCAUUUUGAGGACAACUUGUUGGUCACCGGUUAAAAACAGUUUGAUCUUUUUCAUUUCAAACGUUUUAUAUGCUCCAAAAAGAAAAAAAUUGUUAUUAUUAUUUUUAAAGAUUUUAUUUAUUUAUUUGACAGAGACACAGCCUGAGAGGGAACACAAGCAGGGGGAGUGGAAGAGGGAGAAGCAGGCUUCCCAUGGAGUAGGGAGCCAGCCCAAUGCGGGGCUCGAUCUCAUGACCCUGGGAUCAUGACCCAAGCCAAAGGCAGACGCUUAACAACUGAGCCACCCAGGCACCCCAAGGAAAAAAAAAAAUAUUAGUUAUUCACUCCUAUCUGGUACUGUGGUCGGGAUUCUAUAUGAAAGUUUCCAACUGUGUGGUACAGCUAAAGUUUCUAAUCUUAAUUAAAUACCAGUGCCAUUAUCUGAAAGUACCAGUUCAUAUCUAAUGUUUAAUAAGAUUCCCUUCAAUGGCUCCACAUCUCACUCAGAGUAAAAGCCAGACUUUAAACUAAUUGACAAGACCUUAGGAUAUUUAUUGCUGGCCUCUAGCUCACACUCUCCUCAUCUCUCCUACCCUUUUCCCUUACUUACUCUGUUACAUUCAUUCUGGGUUCUCUGCUGUUUGGGGAGCUCCAGAGGCAUAUUCGGGUAUCAGAGCCUGUGCACAUGGCAUUUCCUCUUCCUGGAUUGGUAUUCUCCCAAAUUUUUGCUUCCUUAUCUCUUUAAAGUGUUUGUUCAAAUGUCACCUUCUCGAAAGGAAUUUCCUGAAUACCCCAUUGAAAAUUAUAUCACCCUUAUCUCAGUACUUCCUGUCCUCAUCUCCACAUUAUUUUUCCUCAUACUGCUUACAAUAUAUUAAGUAAUUCACUUUUUUGAUUGUUUAUUUCUACCCACUAGAGUGAAACUUCACUGAGGGAAGGGAUCUUUGGGAUUGUCACGGCUAUAUGCCCAGGGCACAGAACCAUCCCUGGGACCUAGGGGGUGUUCAGCAUUCGUUUACUGAAUGAAUACAUGCAUAUUUAUUGCAUUUUAUAUUUUCACAAGUCUCUUGAACAUUUUCACUAUGUCACUAGAAAUGUGUGUCUUGGGGUUCUAGAAUCUUGCGUGGCAAAUAGGUGGAGUAGAGAAAAAGGUGACUCUUUUUUAUACUUGCAUGGAAAGGAAUGUCACACAAUUGAGUGUGAUUAUGUAAAGCCAGUAUUAUCUUUUAAUCAUACCUUCUAUUAGUUGAAUAUUAAUAUAAUUGAACAUAUGUCAUUUGCCUCACCAGCAUUCAUUUCAUAACUUUUUUUUAAUUAAUAGCUAUAUAAACCUGCCAAGAGAACAUAUUUUUUUUUCAAAUUGGUUACUUUGUAUAGAAAUAGUUUUAAACUGUAUUUAGUGUUAUUGUACAAGUAGGAAUUAGACCAUCAUAAAUAUUAAUUAUUAGCCCUCAAAACAUUCUUUUGCUUUGCAGUUCAAUCAUUUACUUAAGCCCUACUGAUCUGUUCAAUUUAAUAAUCUACUAAGAUCAGGGAUUAUCCCACUGGCACUGAACAGGGCAAAUAAGAAUGAAAAAAGUUUUACUGCCCUAUCUUUGUACUCAGCCAGUUGUUGAAAUUAUCUGGAUGUGUAAAUUAAUAUUUAACCAAAUCUUUUUUCUGCCUCAAAAAACCUGGGGAAUAAUGUGCUUGUUCCCUCACUCCCGAAGAAAUUGGUGGAAAACAUUGGUGAUGAGUGAAUGAGGUCUGGCUUUUGGUAUGUGAUGGAAUAUACUUUUAAAAAAUAGAGCUCUCUACCUAUUAUCAGGUUGACACUGACAUAGGUUGGGAAAUACCUAUUUUUCUUUGGUAAGAAUCCAUCAUUUGUCAUAUUUAACUCUCAGAGAUUUUAUAAUCUAUCCUAUAGGUUCUGAACAUGUGGUCCCUAGCCCAACAACAUCAGUAUUACUUGUGAACUUGUUUGAAAUGUAAAUUCAGACUUCUGAAUCAGAAACUCUGAGAGUGGGGCCCAAUCACUCAAGAUAAUUUUUUUUUUAACAAGGCUUCGAGGCGAUUUGAUGCAAAUAGUUGAGAAAUGAUGAUUGAUGCUAUUCUAGUAAAUAUGCAUAGAGCCGAUAUUUUAUAUGAUACGUUAUGUGUUAUGGUGUAAGGCAAAGAUGUGAAAUACACACUUUCUGUCAUAGAAGAAAUUAUGCUGAAAAUACUAACUGGCAAGACUCUGAAGAAAACUCUUCUGCAGCAACACUCUAGUAGCAUACAUUACCAUUAUCGAUGCAUAUCUGCAGCUUUAACAUGGUCUUUCUCUGGUCUUUGGUUUUGCUUUUAUCUGCAGAAUUCUGGUCGCCCGGCUAGCUCAGUCGGUAGAGCAUGAGACACUUAUCUGCAGAAUUCUGUACACUUCUAUUUGUCCAUUUAAAUUUGUAGGAUAAAAGGUAAAAAUGUACACAUUAAACAUAAAACCUUCAGCAAUCCACUAAGGAUAGCAAAUCAUAUUCGUGAAAAACUGUAACACAAAACAAAAGAAGUGUUCUUUUUAAGUCACGUAUAUAUAAAUUUCAACUCAGGAAAUAGGACAAAGAGUAACCUACCAGAAUCAGGGUAGCAGAUGCCCCACAAGACACCUCCUUUAUCAUUUCUGAGCUACGCAAUUAGCCACCUAUUCAGUGUCCCUGAUGUCAUUCUCAUUAUAAACCAUAGUGUUUGAUAUCAUAUCAAUCAGCAUUCAGACAGAAGAAGAAAACUAUUCUAGGUAUUUCAGACUAAGAAUCUUUAAAACAAGAAUUCUUUGCCAAAAAAUUAGUUUAAAAAAAAAAGCAGAAAAACUGAGGACUGCAGGAAGAAAGAGAGGAGGUAAAGUAACUCAGAGAUCAGGAAUAGCAACAAACUGCUAUUACCCCUCAGGCUGGCCUAACAGAACCGAGGACGGGGUGUUAGCAGGUAACACUUACCUGUAGCUCUGCUGCGAGACUCUGCUGCUGUUGAAACUGCCCAGCAGUCCCCCUGUGAGAGCAGCCAGAUGUACCUGCUGGCCCAGGCUGGCCCUGCCAUUUCAGGCAAUAGUGCCGGGGCUAGCCACUGCCUGGGAGCUGCUGAAGGUCAUUGGAAACUACAGCUGGCCACUGAUGCUGGUGACCCCUACAGAGGCCACAAGAAAGAAAGCACUUUCCUUCUUCCUAUCUUCCAGCCUCCCACUAGUUCUUGGCAUUGGCAGACCCAACCGGAAGUCAGCUGGGAAAUCCAGGAAAUGUAGUUUUCAGGGUCUCAGCACCUGGGAUACAGAUGAAUACACAAUGAAGCUGAAAGAAAGGGAGCAGGCAAAUGACCUGCACAGGCAUGGGGACACAUCGUAAAACAAUCAGUUAGAAGGCAGAAUGUCAGAGCCUAAGUGAUCCUUGGCAUUCCACCUGCGAUUUUUUUUCAAAUAUUCUUCAGUUAUGGAACUGAAGUUUGGAAAGAAAAUAAGUUCAUUAUAAAACGGAGGCAAUGUGGUAGCAGGAGGUGGUGUUGGGGCAUUAAAUCCCUAGCUGUUUGGAGUACUACUGGGGUACUGCUGUGCCCCAUCUGCUUCCCCUCUGCCAGGUUAGUCACUCAACCCUAGUUGCUGGAGUGUUGGUUGCUACUGGCCUACAACUGCCCUGUUCUCCUGAGAAUUUCCUUAGGCUGAAAGGAGUUGUCUCACACAUUCUGGGGGAGCCUGCUUCGGUGAUCACUUGAUAUGGAAGUAUGAAAGGCCAUCUCCCUUGUCUCAAACCUACGGUGGGGAAUAUGCUGCAGAGCCCUCCAUGGAAGAGACCAAGGCUGGACUUCACCUGAGACCACACCUUUGCUCAGUGCCUCAUGAUUCUCUCCCAUGCUUCCCUUUCCUUGACUCGCCCCUCCGUAAGCCAUAUGCACUUGGAUCUCUCUCUCUCUUAGGCCCUGCUCCUGGUGACACCAACCCAAGACACCACCCAUAUCCUUUUUUUUGUCUUGAGCCUCACAUGAGUUGCCUCAUUGUACUGUGGACAAAAUUGGGUCGCACAAAGCCAUCUAUCUAAGUGCCUUGUCCAAGGUCAUGUUGCUUGUUGGGAAUAAACCUAGUGUUCUCACCUAGAGUCACUAUAGUGACUGACCCUAGUAGUCAGUGUUGCUAAGCUCAGCAAAAUAAAAGAAAUUCAGGACCACUUACAAUUUCCCUUGGGACCUACUAAAAUGGGAGUCCAAAGCAGGCAGUAGAUAAAAAUUAACAGUUUGAGAACAGAGAUCUCAUUGGAGUAUUAGAUUAAUGACUCCCAGACCAUUAUGAGGGCUCCGUGGGUGAUUCGUUAAGCUUUUGGCAUGAUUCUAGAUUCUUCCCUCAUUCCACUUUCUUCCUCCUUUUUAAUUUCCUUCCCACACCCAGCACUAGUGUCUUUGUUUUUAUUUUUGGAACCACCCAUCCAAAGAAGAAGGACUAGCUUCUUAUUGGAGCUGACUGAACGCAUCAGUAUCCAUACAGCACUGUUGAACUUUGACUCCACUGGCAAGUACCCUUUCAUAGAAUCAUGCCUAGCUGCCUUUCUGAAGACAUUCUGCCUUGGUGUUCUUUGCCAAGCUUCAAAUUACAGUGUUUUAUAUAAAGCUGCCAUUUGGCAGGGUAUUUUUCUUUUUUUUUUUUUUAAAGAUUUUAUUUAUUUAUUUGAGACAGAGAGAAUGAGAGAGAGAGAGCACAGGAGAGGGGGGAGGGUCAGAGGGAGAAGCAGACUCCCCGCCGAGCAGGGAGCCCGAUGCGGGACUCGAUCCCGGGACUCCAGGACCGUGACCUGAGCCGAAGGCAGUCGCUUAACCAACUGAGCCACCCAGGCGCCCUGGCAGGGUAUUUUUCUUUUGUUUUGCCAGUUUCUGAUCUUUUUAACACAGAGUGACCAUGAAGUCCCACUUUGUAAUUGUUGAUUGGUCUCUGGUGAUGAUCGAAAACUUUCAUACAUAGCAGAUAAUAUUUAAUAUAUUGCCAACUGCACAAGAGGCAGAAAGGGACCUUAUUGUGGGUUGAAUUGUGUACCCUCAAAAUUCAUUUGUUGAAAUCUAAGUUCCCCAGUACCCCAGAUUGUGACCAUAUUUGGGAAUAGGGUUGUAUCAGAUGUAAUUAGGUUAAGGUGAUGUCAUACUGGAAUAGGAUAGACCCCCUAAUCCAGUAUGACUGAUGUCUUUAUAGAAAGAGGAGAUUUGGAGACAGACACACAUAUAGGGAAAACACCAUGUGAAAAUAAAGGCAGAAGUUUUCUUUUUCCUCUUCUGGGGACAUUGUCUAGUGGCAUUCAGAAUGGUCCAGCAUUUGACAUAUGGCCAUAGGCUGUCCUACAAUAGGCUGUCCUCUAACAAAGCCAGGUUGUCGGAAACCCCUGGUGAUAGAAUUGUUUACCUUUAGACCAGAAAGGUUGGAGAAGCAGCAAAAUCCACAUGUGGCAUGUGCCCAGGAGUUUGUGCCAUGAGACCUAAAAUUCCUCUGAGGUUGUCUAAAAUGACAAAAACCUGGGGCGCCUGGCUGGCUCACUCUGUCAACAGGGCCUUUGGUGGUUCCAUGUGUGCUAAGUGUGUCUGUGACAGGAUCAAGCAUGCUUUCCACAUCAAGGAGCAUUAAAUUGUUGUGAAAACGUUGAUGGCACAAGCAGAGAGUCAGAGAGCUAAAUUUAAAAACUGAAGCUUUCUCAAGUAGGAAAAAAAAAUCAAAAGGCUAAAAAAAAAAAAAGAGAGAGGCAGAGAUUGGGGUGAUACUUCUGCACCCCAAGGCAUGCCAAGAUUGCCCACAAACCUCUAGAACUAGGGCAGAGUCGGGGAACAGAUUCCCACUCACUGCCCCCAGAAAGAACCAACCCUGCUGACACCUUGACCUUGUACUUCUGGCCUCCAUAACCGAGAGAUGAUAAAUUUCUAUUAAGUCACACAGUGUGUGGUACUUCAUUGUGAAAGCCCUAAAAUUCAGGCCUGAAGUCAUGUCUCCUCCUGCCUCUAUUAUAAAUGGAACUCCUUUUAUUGAGUACUAUUUAGUGAAAUCCUACUCCAGGAUGCUGUUUUUCAGUAGAACAUCUCAAUUUUUACAUGAAUGUCUUCAUGCUUAUGUAUCCUAUUUUUAAAUGCCUACUUUGUUUUAUUUAUUUUGUAUUAUUAUGUAUUUUGCUGUUGUAUUCAUUGUUAUUCUUGCUUGUUCUGGUUAUUUGAGAGAGGUUUAGUCUUUUUUUUUUGGCUCUUCCACAGGUUACUUUUAAAAAUUAAAUAAUAUAGAUCCAUCUAUAAUUUAGACAGUUAUUAAAAAUAAAGAAAACAGCAAACUUACUUUUCCUCCCAUUACCUCUCUUCUCCAGGUUCCAAAUUCAAUUAUUUAUAUUAUUGUUUUUACAUCCAACUUCAUAAUAUUUACCUUUUGUUAUAAAGUCAUUAUAAUCAAAAGUAUUCAGUUUUAGUUCUGCAUUCAAAUGGAAUCAGUAUUCAUUUUCGAUCAUUUUAUGUAAUGGCUAUACAGUUCUUGAAUUCUCAUUUUUAUUUAUAUCACAGUUUUCUGUAUUUCAUAAACUAGUAGUUUAUAGAGAAACCAUCAUGAGUGUUAUGGUCCAAUGUGUGCAUAUUUCAGAAUCUCUAUCUUUUUUUCACAUUAUACAUGAUUGAUAACUAUACUGGGUAUAAAAUUUGUGAGUCAUUUCCCCCUCUUCAAGCCUCAUUGCCCUGCAGUUUUUUGGUUUUUUGUUUUGUUUUGUUUUUGCUUGCUUUGUUUUUGUUUUGUUUUGUUUUCUGGUGUUAGUGUUGCUGAAGUAAUACUGAUUUUCUACCCGAUGGCUAAAUUUCUUUUUCAGGAUGGAUGUCUCAAAACUUCUUUUCUUAUCCCUGAAAUCCAAUUGCUAUCAUUUGUUUUGUAUCAAUUUUUUACUAAAAUGUGGUAUUCCAUUUUGAUUUAUGUUUAUGGAAGUUAUUAUUAUUAUUAUUAUUAUUAUUAUUAUUUUAGAAAUGUUCGAUUACACCUUUGAGUAUCUUUGUUUGGUGUGAUUUUCCUAAAGCCUGUCCACCAUAUCUGUGACUUGUUUUCAGGAGUAUGUAUUCUACUUCUCAUUCCAGAUUUCACUGUAUUUGGCAGAUAUGCAUCAACAUCUGUUGUCUGGAGUUAUAGUGUUUUCCCAGUUUUUUUUUUAUAGAUACCCUUAGCUUCCCAUUUUUCUAAAAUUCUUUAUUUAAUUGCGUUUUCCAGAAAACGUGCACUUUUUCCACAUGCAAUCUGGGGCAGUUUUCUUGAAAACUAUCUAUAAGAACGGAGGAUAAUCUAAGGAGUUGAUAUACUUUGGGGGUUAGUGAAAUGUAAUAGGAAAAGCCUCAGAGUGGGGCUUGGGCCAGACUUGAACUACUGCUCUGUCUCACCACAUCUGUUUUGCUGUUGUUUGCUGGAACAUCUUUGCCAUAGACAUCUUUGCCUCAAGAGUUUUGGCUGCAUAACUAACUGGCUGUAAGGCAAUUCUGUCAUCAAAGAUAAAAUAAUAAAAAAUAAGAGAGGGAUAUUAAAAAAGACAUAAUGAAAUGUUAAAAAACAUUAAUGAAAUUGCCAUAAGGUAAUUUUGCCAUCAAAGAUAAAAUAAUGAAAAAUAAAAGAAGGACAUUAAAAAGGACAUAAUGAAACAUAAAAGAAAAUAAUAAUAAAAUUAAUUAUUAAUCCCUUCCUUCAUUGAGAGAGAUAUCAGUUUUCCAAAUACUGGGAGGAGUCUUGGUAACUGAGCUUUGUAUUGCAUUAGGAAAGCCUUCCACACUGUUCUUGGCAUAUCGUCCUAUUUCAUUGAUGGAUGUCACAAAGAUCUAUGGAUACAGUGGGCGAAAUGCUAAUUCUGUAACGCCUUUGUAACUGAGCUUUGUAUCCUUGUAACAUUUGGUCUCAUGGUAAUGUAAUUGUGUCACUGUCAUUCAUUAUCUAAUACAGCAUAGUAUGCAAUCUGGCUUUGCACUCUCUUAUUUCACGCUUCCAGUAAGUUUUAUCACAAUAUUUUCUGUCAAGUUGAUAUACAUAGUUGUUAUCACCUACUAUUUUAAGAUCACCACACAUGAUUGUCACUGUAUAGACCAUCAUGAAAGCUAGCUAAGAUUUAUAUAAUAUAAAAAUGGGAAUUUUUUUCAAUGGAAAAAUAAAACCAGACUGACAGCUAGUAGCUUCAAUACCUUCACUCUUCCAAGGGUAGUUGAUUUGUCAAUGAAGAAAUGAAAUACAACUACCAACCAGUUAUUUUAUCAUUUACAGCAAAAUUAUCUUUUGGCCAAAUAGUUAUGUGACAAAAAUAUCUGUGGUGAAAAUGUUUGCUGUAAAGGUGUGUAUGGCAAAGGUGUUUAUGGCAAAGCUACCUGGAAGCCAGUCACACACCAGCUCUGUGACCCCAGUUAGAAUACGAAAACUCUGAAUCUCAAUUUCUUUACAAAGUUCUUGCAGGAAUUAAGUAAAUAACCUACCCAAAGUUAUGAGUAAGUUACAUGCGAACCAUAAAUAGAAAUGCUAGCUACUAUCACCUUAUUUAUUUAAAAGCAUCUAUAGGGGGCGCCUGGGUGGCUCAGUUGGUUAAGCGACUGCCUUCGGCUCAGGUCAUGAUCCUAGAGUCCCGGGAUGGAGUCCUGCAUCGGGCUCCCUGCUCGGCAGGGAGUCUGCUUCUCCCUCUGGCCUUCCUCCCUCUCAUGCUCUCUGUCUCUCAUUCUCUUUCUCUCAAAUAAAUAAAUAAAAUCUUUAAAAAAAAUAAAUAAAAUAAAAGCAUCUAUAGGGCUAAGAUUAGUCUAUGCAGGACCCUGGCAACAAUCCUUCCCCUAUGCUCAGUUCUGGUCAGGCUGGUAUUAAGGGUUUUUGUUUUUGUUUUUGUUUUUUUUCCCAUUUUUCAACCCCUGUCAACACAUGAUUCAUUGCAACUUUGGUUAUUAGAAAAUAUCCUAUUGGAUUGGGGAUGGUGGGAGAGAGGUAAAGACAGGAGGUUUAAAAAAAAUAUUUCACAUAGGGACUUGGCUUUCAAGUACUUACAUGAACUCAAUUUUGAGAGAAUUUAAAGGAGAUUUAUAAUAUCAUUAGGGGUUAGGAAGCAGACCUAUACCAAACACUAAGGACACCGAUAGGAUUUUCCUUGGAGAAGAAAAGUCAGAGGGGAGAUUUAGUACUCUACUACUUGUGAUACAGAUGAGAUUAAUAACCAGCUGAGAUUCUUUGUCUCCAGUGAUUAUAGCACAAAUGAAAACUGACUUGAGUUGCCAGUAGAAAUCUCCAGAUGGCGAAAGCAGGGUUGGGCUUCCUUGUAGGAAGGGGCCACCCACUUGUGAUACCAGGGGACUCGGAAAGCCUACUUGUUCCCCUACUCUGUAAGUGCUUCCCAUUAUCUCAGGGAUUGAUGCCAUAAUUUCCAUGAUUAAAAUGUUAUUGCUUUGAUGAGGAAACAAAAUAUUCUGCCCCCCAUGAGGUAAUACCACAAUGAAAAGAGAAUGAGUUAGCUGAUAAUUUCCUUUAAAAAGUUUGAUUGACACUGGGGAGAGGGCUAUAGGUUAUGGGGCUCCUCAAGGGGGAAGAAGUUUAUAUUACCUCAAUAGGAAAAGAGUACAGCAUGUGGAGUCUGGGGGCCUAUCUCUUAAUUUUACUGAGAUCCACCUCUCAGUAGGAACUAUAAACCACUGACUGAUUAUUGCUUCAUCUGAUGAAGUCACAUUUCUGGAUAUCUUUAAAAGCUGGACAGAUGAUUUAUGGUUAUCUUCUGUUAUUUCCUGAACCUUACAACAACGUUUUAGUUGUGCUUGCUUGUAUCUGAAAGGUUGGACAAGCAUUGUUCCAAAUGGUCCUAUGAUCACAUACAGCAUCAACAUCACCUGAAAGCUUGUCAGAAAUGCAAAUUUGGAAGGAGGCUGGGAAUAUAGCCAGAGUAGGAGGACCCUAAGCUCACCUCAUCCCACGGAUACUAGAUAACACCCCCAUCAGUGUAAAUAAUUCAAAAAGUGACCCAAAGACUGGCAGACAAACUCCAUAACUGAAGAUCGAGAAGAGACCACAGUGAAAAGGGUAGAAAGGGUGGAGAUGCUGUGGGGAACUAAACAGACCUUGGGCAGUCCACGGGAGGGAGGGAGCAGAGAAGGGCAAGAAACAGACUAUCACACCAGGCAGUAGGCUCAGGGUAGACAGAUCCCCACAACAUUUCACUUUGAAAACUAGAGGGGCCAAAUUCUGUGAAUUCUUUCAACCAGUGGGACUUAAAGCCUGGAAUUUUAAACACCAGUGGGCUUGGUUCUGGGAGAGCCUGGAGGGCGAGAGGAAGCUGAGUCCUCACCCUUAAAGAGACAGUACAACAAACAGCCCAUGGAGAUAAAGUACAGAAGCAGCGGUUUGAAAAACUCCUGAAGUAACUGAGAAGGAGAGUAGUUUAUUCAUCUCAGAGCUUGUCCCAGAGGGACAGAUUUCAUUGGAGGAUUCCUCCCAGAACAAAGGAGCUGGCAGGCUCCAUUUCCCUCCCCACCCCCCAGCAUAAACACACUGACACUGACCAGAACCCGCACAGCACCAACAUUACCUGUCUGACUUGCUUACACCAAGCCCUGUGCUCCCCCCACCAUGCUUUGGUGGAUCCACCCAGUCAUGGAAGAUCUAUCUAUGCGCUUGCCUGUAAGAUAUUCUGCAGAUUGAAAGUGAGGGGAGGGUGCCUGGGUGGCUCAGUCGGUUAAGCGUCUGCCUUCGGCUCAGGUCAUGAUCCCAGGGUCCUGGGAUUGAGUCCCGCAUCGGGCUCCCUGCUCUGUGUGGAGCCUGCUUCUCCCUCUCCUCCCCACUUGUGCUCUCUCUCUUACUAUCUCUAUCUCUCUCAUUCUCAAAUAAAUAAAAUCUAAAAAAAAAAAAAGAAAAGAAAGUGAGGGGAUAGAGAAACAUUUGUCAUGCAAAUGGAUGUGAAAAGAAAGCUGGUGUAGCAAUACAUGUAUCAGACAAAAUCGACUUUAAAACAAAGACUGUAACAAGAGACAAAGAAGGACACUAUAUAAUGAUAAAGAGGACAAUCCAACAAGAAGAUAUAACAAUUGUAAAUGUUUUUGCACCCAACAUGGGAGCACCCAAAUACAUAAAACUGUUAACAGCAGACAUGAAACAGUUGAUAGUAAUACAAUAAUAGUAAGAAACUUUAACACCCACUUACGUUGAUGGACAGAUCAUCCAAACAGUAAAUCAACAAGGAAAUAGUGGGCUUUAAUGACACAACGGGCCAGAUAGAUUUAACAGAUAUAUUCAGCAGGAUAUAUAAGAGAAAAUGAUAUACCAUCUUUUUAAGUGCACAUGGAACAUUCUCCAGAAUAGAUUACAUAUCAGGCCACAAAGCAAGUCUCAAUAAAUUUAUAAAGAUCAAAGUCAUACUCUGCAUCUUUUCUGACCACAAUGCUAUGAAACUAGAAAUUAACACAAGAAAAAAAAUCUAGAAAGAGCAAGAAUGCAUGGAAGUUAAAUAACAUGCUACUAAACAAUGAAUGGAUCAGCCAAGAAAUCAAAGAAGAAAUAUAAAACCACAUGUAGAGAAAUGAAAAUGAAAACACAACAGUCCAAAAUUUUUGAGAUGCAGCAAAAGCUGUUCUAAGAGAGAAGUUUAUAGCAAUACAGGCCUACCUAAAGAAGCAAGAAAUCGCUAAUAAACUAACUACACAUACAGGAGCUAGAAAAAGACGAACAAACAAAAUGGAAGACCAGCAGAAGGAAGGAAAAAAUAAAGAUUAGAGCAGAAAUAAGUGAUAAAGAAACUAAAAACAAAACAAAACAGUAGAACAGAUCAAUGAAACCAGAAGCUUGUUCUUUGAAAGAUCAAUAAAAAUGCUAAACCUCUAGCCAGACCCAUCCAAAAAAAAGAGAGAGGACUCUAAUAAACGAAGUCAGAAAUGAAAAAGGAGAAAUAACAACUGACACCACAGAAAUACAAAGGAUUGUAAGAGAAUAUUAUGAAAAAGUAUAUCCCAGCAAAUUAGACAACUUAAAAGAAAUAAAUUCCUAGAAACAUAACCUACCAACUGAAGCAGGAAGAAAUAGAGAAUUCGAGCAGACUGAUUUCCAGCAAUGAAAUUGAAUCAGUAAUCAAAAAAUUGCCAACAAAAAAAAGUCCAGGACCAGAUGGCUUCACAGGUGAAUUCUGCCAAACAUUUAAGGAAGAGUUAAUACCUAUUCUUCUCAAACUAUUCCAAAAAAUAGAAGGAAAACUUCAAAAUUUGGUCUAUGAAGGUAGAAUUACCCAGAUACCAAAACCAGAUAAAGACACCACAAAAAAAGAGAACUACAGUCCAAUACCUCUGAUGAACAUAGAUGCAAAAAUCCUCAACAAAAUAUUAGCAAGCCAAAUCCAACAAUACAUUAAAAAAAUCAUUCACUAUGACCAAGUCGGAUUUAUCCUUGGGAUCAAGAGUGGUUCAACAUUUGCCAAUCAGUCAGUGUGAUACAACACAUCAAUAAGAGAAAGAAUAAAAACCAUAUGAUCAUCUCAUAGAUGUAGAAAAAGCAUUUGACAAAGUACAACGUCCAUUCAUGAUAAAAACACUCAGCAAAGUAGGUUUAGAAGGAACAUACUUCAACAUAAUAAAGAUCUAAUUAAAAAAAAAAAAAGCAAAAAAAACAAAAAAACAACCCCCAGUGAAACAUCUUACUCAAUGGGUAAAACAGAGCUUUUCCCUUAAGGUUAAGAACAAGACAAGGAUCUCCACUCUCACCAUUUAUAUUCAACAUUUAUUAUAUAUAUAAAAUGGAAUAUUACUCAGCAAUAAGAAAGAAUAAAAUCUUGCCGUUUGCAACAACAUGGAUGGAGCUAAAGAUAUUAUGCUGAGCGAAAUAAGUCAGAGAAAGACAAAUACCAUAUGAUUUCACUCAUAUGUGGGAUUUAAGAAACAAAAUAAAUGAACAACAACAACAAAAGAGACAAACCAAGGAACAGACUCUUUUUUUUCUUUUGUUUUUUUUAAUUAGUACAUUUUUAUUGUUAUGUUAAUCACCAUACAUUACAUCAUUAGUUAAGGAACAGACUCUUAACUAUAGAGAACAAACUGAUGGUUACUAGAGGGGAGGUGGGAAGGGGGAUGGGUGAAAUAGGCGAUGGGGUUGAGUAUACUUAUCUUGAUGAGCACUGAGUACUAUAUGGAAUUAUUGAAUCACUAUAUUGUAAACCUGAAACUAAUAUAACACUGUAUGUUAGCUACCCUGUAAUUUAAAAAGAAAAGAAAUGCAAAUUAGUGGGCACCACCCAAACCUGCUCAAUCAGUGUCUGGUAGGGUUAAGGGUAGGGGGGUUGGGGAGAGGGGGAGUCCCAGUAUUCUGCAUUUUAACAAGACCUCUGGGUGAUUUUUGUGCAUAAUAAAGUUUAAGAACCACUGAUGAUUUUCAUUGCUCUUUACUGGUUAAGAACAUACAUGAGGUUUUUGUACUUAUUUUCUGCCUCUUAGCAACUUACUCAUAUCCAAACAACUUAAAAGAAGGAUAAAAUAUUUGUUUUCAGUGUUCUUCAAUUUUUCUAUUUACCAGCUAACCUCUUAAUAGUAUUUUUUUUUAAAGAUUUUAUUUAUUUAUUUGACAGAGAAAGACACAGCGAGAGAGGGAACACAAGCAGGGGGGAGUGGGAGAGGGAGAAGCAGGCUCCCCGCCGAGCAGGGAGCCCGAUGCGGGACUCGAUCCAGGGACUCCAGGAUCAUGACCUGAGCCGAAGGCAGUCGCUUAACCAACUGAGCCACCCAGGCGCCCUCUUAAUAGUAUUUAUUAGAGUCCAUUUUGCCAUACAAUAGAUUGCCAAGAUCAUGAUUCAGAAGCUUAUUCAAAUGUAUUUUAAAUGUUGAAAUGGAAACAACCUGGAGAUGUAAUUGCCAAAAUUUAAUCAAGGAUUUAAUUUAUAGCUCAGACUAGCCAAAUGGAUUUUCCCAUUUUUCAGUUCACUGUUUGCACAAGGAAAUUAAAAAGUAUGGAAUCACAAGCUGAGCAGGGAACCCUUGAAGAGUAUUGCAGUGUGUUCACUGAUUCUCAUUUGCCAUAUUAUAGCAUCCUGAUCCUUGGGACUUGUAGUUCCCAAAGCCAGAUUAGAGCAAGUGGGGGGGGGGGGGCGGGGCGGGAAGCAAUAUAUAUUUUUUGGUCAUGUUAUAAAUUAUUGCCAGGGCAUGUUAGCUCACACAUGGGAAUUAAUAGAAUAGGUUAAAUAUCCUGUUCUUGAUUCUGUUGGUUAAAAAAUGCCCUUGUUUCAACAUGCCAUGUCUAGCUGCCCUCAAACCACUAAACGGGGAAGAGGUAUGAUUGAGAAUUUCAUUGCCUUCUCCAUUCUACCAGUGAUAAUAGGUUUUCACUGAGCUCUUUGCACUUGUUUUUCAAAAGCCCAAGGUUUGAAUACUUUGUGCCCCACAAUAUCCAUCACUUAGACUCUGAAGUCCCCGUGCAGAUUUGACAGAGCAGUGGUUUCUCAACCAUGGUUUGCCAAGUCAGCAUGAGUGUCUGUGUGUUUGGAGGGGGAAAAGAAAAAUGAACAGAUAAGGUCAGUGAUGUUCUCAUCAAGGUGGGCACGUAUGUUUUUAUACUUACAUUUGAGUGAUGCUUUGCCUAACAAAAGCACUAUGUUAAGAUAUAUUGGUGUGGACCACUUCUCUCAUUCUGGGUGUGAUGAGAGUAGUGAAUCUAAGUCUUUUUCUCUCCUGGCUAGAGUCGCAUAGGUGCAUCCCAAUGCUUCUUUAUAAAGACAAAAAUCAAGAUAUUUCAGUAACAAAUCAUUACAUUUAAUUGAGCUAUUUUUGCUUCUGGUCAAAAAGAAGCAGGAGAGAGGACAAGUAGGUCUCAAGUAUUUCACAACAAGA